rnacentral:lncRNA from 1 species
GUUGAAUUGAUCGUGGCUGCUACCCAUUUUCUCUCCUUUUCUUUUGUGUUCUUCCUUCUUCUGUGUUCUGCGUUAUCCCCUCUAUGGUAAGCUUCUUCUCCUGCUUACUCUUCUUCUCGAUUCUUCCUCUGCUCUUCUUCUACUCUUAAUCUUCUCUCCAAUUCUCUGUCUCUUCUUCCUCACCUAAAAUUGUUACUUGUAAUCCAUUGCAUUGUAAGACAAUCAUCAAUUAAGGGAAUGAAUGUGUCGAUUUUGGUUGGCGAUUAACUAGUUCUUGUUAGUAAUUCAAUUUAUGUUCCUCAAUUUGGCUGAUUGCAAUUUAUAUUCAGAAUCUUGUGUUUUUAUUGUUAGUUAUUUCAGGUUGUGUUCUUUAAUUUGGAUAAUUACAAUAUCUUGAAUUUAUAGCUGCUAGUUAUUUGGUUUAGCUUGGUUGGAAAAUUAAUUGGUUUUAGUUGAAGUUGGGCUCCAACCAUAACAUUUAUGCGAUGAAACCCUUGUUCUUUUUGUGAUUUCUCUAGACGUUUUGAAUAAUUGAUUUCCAUUGUUUGUGAACCCUCAUUCUCUACGUGAUUUUUGUCGAUGCCAUUAUACUCACUACAAAUUGAGGACAAAUCUGUUUGACACAUAAAUUUUGAGAUCUGUUUUCUAAGUUGAUUUACGUUUUUCUUCUCUUCUUUUAUAACUCCUGGGUUAUUUGAGCUUAUUGCCUUUUUUGCCUUCUUUCAGCUCUUCAUUAUUGGGUUAAAUUAUGGUUUUCAAAGAAUUAGUUCUUCUACCCAAAAGUAGAAUCUCCUUCUUUAUGCAGUCCAAACUCGUAUUCUCGAGUUUUGAAGAUUUUACUUAUUCUAUUAAUACUUAGUGGGAUGAAAGCAAUUGAAGUUUUCAAUGUAGUAUAGAGCCAAAUUGAUGCCUUUAAUCAGUUUUAAAGUCUUGUAAUUUAACAGAUUAAAUACAUAACCGUUACUGAAAAUUUGUUGCCUUAUCUCCUAGGCAAGACCCUGGUUUUGGCAGAAUCUUAAUUGAAUCACUUAAUGGAAAUUGGAUUCUAAUUGAUUAAGAAGAGGUAUGGUCAUGUUUGUUUACCCUUUCUUUCAUUUCUUUCUUUUCUGGCCCUAUAUAUGUGUGUGUGUGUGUGUGUGUGUGUGUGUGUGUGUGUGUGUGUGUGUAUUUGUAUGCCUUUCCUCAUUUUGUGGCCUUCAUAUAUUCACUCAUUUCCUUCAUGUAGGAAUUUGAUAUUCUUUUCACAUCGUCCUUUGACAUGCGCAGCAUGAAUGGUGGAUUGUAAUGGGAUGUGAUCCAAAAAAUACUAGAUAGAGCUACCACAAUGGAGGAUCAUAGCCAGGUAUCUUUUAGAUUAUUUUGGUGCAAUGAACUAGCCUGCAAACUGUAACAUGGGAAAACUAUUUGGCCUCUUUUCAAGGAGAAAGAUAAAUAAAUGGAAACUUAAUAAUUGCAAUUGUUUACUUUUAGUUGUUUUUAUUUCUAUGUUAUUUGAGAAAUCAUUGAUAUUAAGCCGUACAACAGCAUAAUUGAUUGCUGAAGAUUUUUUAGUGUUAGUUCCCUUACUUUGAGUAAUAAGAGCCAUCACUAUAGAGGAUUCUCAAUAAUAUUUGAAGACUGAUACGUUUCUAAUUCAGUUUUUACUAAGCAAACUAUAUUUACUACAUAUCUUGAAGUUUUCCAAAUGAUUCUUAGAAUAAUUUCAAUCUCUUUCUUCUAUUGUGUUAAGCUCUUUUUUAUAUUUAGGGUCUGUUUGAUUGCAAAAAUAGAAAAGGCAAACCAAUUCGAUGUAAGUUGUAAAAGAAAAUUACACCAAAACCAUAAGAAAGCAUUUUCCAUUCAAUUGGCCAAAAACAUGCUUUAGUGUUUGUACAUUGAAAUCCAAACUCCAUUUCCACUUUCUUAUCAAACAACCAAAGUAGAAAACGACAUUUUCCAUGGAAUUUCUUCCAAUCAAACGGACCCUUAGUUUAAUUAUAUUAGGUGCGGUGCUUCCAUGGCUACUCACAAUAGCGUGUUCAAAGACGGGGGGCUCUCAGUCUGCUAGAUGGCCAUUGAACUUGCUGAAUCCAGGUUGUGAAAAAAUUGAGGCCAAAAUUAAAGUUGAACCCUUGGUAGUUUUGUAUUCAAUUUUUUGGGAAAAUAAUUGUGAGAACUUACAACAGGGGACCAUUUAAAGCAAAGUGAAGUACAAAAGUUCCUAAAUUAGCAAUGAUACAUUUUAAUAAAUUGCUACGUUGAUUACAUGAAGGGCUUUAUGAAUUUCCGAUUGGUUGAGAUCUGCAUGAAAAGCUACAGAUAUGCUUCUAAGCAGGCGUUAUACUUUUUAUCAAAAAGUAGGCAGUGCAUAGAUGAAUAUGCCAUUGAUUGUCAUUAACCUUAGUACCUUACUGAGCAAAAUUUUCAAUUAAUUGGGUAACAUUUAUAUGAAUACUGUGUCUACCAGAAAUAUUAUCUUUCAAUUCAAUUUAAUGGUAUGUUGGGAAUCUAUUGCAUUUGUAAAGGGAUAUUGCCUUGAACUAGUUUACAUGUUGAGUUCUGUUUAGCUAAGAUACCACCAUUAGCAUCUUUUUCUUCCUUUCAUUUAUCUUGAGAUUGUUCUCCUUAUUAACAUAGUUAUCUUGUCCAAUGUAUUCAAGCAAAAACCUUCAUGCUAUGUUUUUAGUUCUUUUGAUAUUAUUUCUAUGCAGUUGAUGGAUAAAUCUGCUGCUAUUGUUGUAUAUAUGCUUUUGUUUGUUUUGCAAGAUUCAUUUACUCAUCAAAAGAAGUCAAAGGCAACAAUCUGGCUAGGAAGAGGUUAGAUCUCUGUUUCUGGUCUUAGUUUCACUUUAGUUACUUUUUCUUUUUGUGUUGAUGUCUUCUUAUUUGAUUGUUAACAUACGACUUUUGAGGCUUUCAUCAUUUUACUCGAAGAAAACAAACUCUAAUAGUAUCUGAAAUCAUUAGUAAACUAGCAAUGCUCAACCAUAUAUAUGCAUAUUAAAUUUGUUAAUGCAAUAGAGUUUUCCCAAGCUAUUGAAAUCAUUGAUUCCUUUUAUGAUUUUUGUUUGGUGAGCUAUUUGUUUAAAGAUUAAUACUUUAUUAUUAAUUUUUUAUAAAGUUUUUUAGAGUCUUAUAUACGAAUGAUUUAUGAAGAAAUUAUUUAUAGGCAUAUUGGGCUGCAUUUCUAUGAUGAGUAGAAUCAGUACUUGUACUUGAAUCUUGCUAAUGUUGAUUUACAUUGUGGAAUUAGCGAUUUCUUUUACGCCUACAAAAAUAUGCCUUUUGUUGCCUGAAUGAUUAGAGAAAGAAAUAUUGGAAUAGAAACAUAGUUAACUUGCCAAUAGCAGCUAUUUUACAAUUUUGUAUCCCAGAAAUAACAACUGGGCACUUUAGUUAUCUUCUGUAAUAGAAUUUUAUACCUUAAAAGUUUGUGUACAUGAUCAUGGAAAUUCAAGUGACCCAAUAUUUUGUAAAUGACCAAUAAAUAAACGAAUUUGAAUUCAUUGCCUUUCACUGGCUGCAAUUGAUGUGAGUGCUUCAUUUGAUAUUUGUGAUUGAUAGAUUUUGAAGAAUACUAUGAUACUAGAGGCUCCCUUGUUUAAACCUGAGCCUCCUUUGUAAGGUUUAUUCUUCCACUAUUGGUUAUUUCAUAAUUUUGUAUUUUUAUUUAUUUGAAAGUUCUUAUAAAAGUUAAGUUUGCAAGUCUUUUGCAGCAACAUUUCUAGAAUAGUUCCUUGUACUUCUACUUCUACCUUUCUAUAUAUAUACUAGUCAUCACCACGUGCAUUGCACGAGUUUUGUAUUUAUUCAAUUUCUAUUCGUGUAAAAAUUGUAGAUUUUUUGAAUUCUAGUUAAGGAAUUGGAGAUGUAAACAUUUAUGGUUGAAAAGAAGAAGAAACGCUAAUAUAUAUACAAAAAG